CUUAAUUUGAUUUGAGCGUCACUGAUAAGUAUUUUGUAGACGAAACGCGCGUCUGGCGCAACUUCACAUUUUACAUUCUAGUAUCUAUCUAUGGUGACUUUAUGUAGAUACCUUACAGCAGUAUCCUGGUUCCAAGCUACUAAUAUUGGUCUUACUCUGAAUUUCAGCGUAAAAAAAUAUCAAAAACCUCCCACAUUCCAGACACGCACAACGUUCAUAGCGACACCAUGAAUUCAGUAUUCCUGCUGUACCCAUACUUAGAUCUGAAAUCGUUGAUACAAGGUAAUAUAUGAUCGUCAUGCAUUCGAUAAAGAAUGAAUACAAAACGUUAAAACUUACGACCGAAACGCUUUUCUGGAUCUACCUU
rnacentral:lncRNA from 1 species